CCUCGCAGACUACACAACCCUCCCUUUUCCCUGUUGCCAGCAAAAUCGACUACAGCGCUGCAAAGAGCACUCAGCGGGAUAAAUUGGCGUUACACAACUUUUCUUUGGCAAUUGUACUUUUAUAAAAUAUCUCAUGAUUUAACUGUACUUUUGUUGUACAAUUUUCCCUCAUGUUUGUAUAGAUUUUUCAUAUGUGACAAUUACCCCCUCAUUUGGAAAUAUCACAAUCUUGGGAUUAUUUAUUGAAAUUGUUGUACUGUUGGUAGUAAAACUAUAGCCUGACAAAAUAGUAAUUGAAUUUGAAAUUUUCUUAAGAGUUAACAAUCAUAUUGAUGUCCACUAUACAUAUACUAGGGUAGAUGUACCUUUAAUGAUGUGACCUGCCAGUUUCCACAAAAACUUUCAGGUUAUCAUCAUGUCACCACACCAUUGUUAUUCUGAGUUUCCUGCCUGUUUUGGUUGUUUUUGAACCAUGAUCUGCUGACUUCAGAACCGAAAAAAAAAAAAAACAUUGCCUUACCAAUAAUACAGAAAUGAAAUCGAGCAUUGAUCAAAACACAAACAUGAUCUUAUUCUUAGUCAAAAUAUCAUCAUAACAUAACUAUAUACAGCAUUACAUGGGGUGCUACCUCAUCAUGAUGAAUAACAUGAUUCUCAGUAUUCAAAUCUGUAAAAAAAAAACAUAAGUUAUCAGCUAUUUCAGUAAAGUAUUCAAUUAAAUACAUACAUAACAAAUAAAAUAGGUAUUUAUUCUUACAUACCUCUAGUUUGUAGCCAUUCGAGCCAAAUUUUCCUGAUUUCCAUUGUUAUUGCAAUCAACAUGAUAAUGCUUACCAUAACAAUGCCUGUACUCAAGGAAGUAUAAUCAGCAAUUGUCAUAAUAUUUGAAAUAUUUGACAAAAUGCUUUCAAUCAUGGAAAUUAUUUUUAAAAUUGCUUGAAAAUUCAUUGCAAUGCACUUUGCAAUAUUCAAAUAAUGAAUGAAUAAUAAAUGAAUAAUGAUGAUUUUGAAUAGUAAAUUUAAGCUUCUUUCUUUAUUUUUUUAUUUCAUCAUCUGAUUCUCAGAGUUCAAGGAGUACCCGGAUCCGCGAUUCUUACCAAUCUAAACAAGAAAUCUGGCAAUCACAAGAGUAUCAAACUCAUUACUGAUCUCAUUAUUGUGUAGUGGUGCUACUAAAAAAGUGUACAUUAAUUUUACUCAAUUUUCAACUCUUCAUUUGGUUCCUCCAGAAAGAGGCUAAAUACUGUACUCAAGUAACUGGCAAAAUAUCUGCCUGCAAAAAAAAAAAUAAUAAUAGGUCAAAUGUGACGAAGCCUAUCAAAAUUGGAAUGGCACCAUUGGGGUUAGGGUGCGUCAUGUUCCAUUUUUUUUUUUUUUUGUUGAAAUCUUGAGGUCUUACCCGCUAAUGUUGUUCCUUUAGAUGAUAAAAUAACACCAUAAACUUGGAUUUUUUAAAACAACAUAAAAAUAGCAGUUUAAAAAGGAAAAAUUUGGAACAUAAAUUUUUUCUUCAGGAAUGUGUUUGGAUGAACCACCUGAACUAUCAAAAAACAAACAAACUUUCUACCCCUAGAGCUAAUUGUUUUAGGAGGCUAAAACCGGUUCUGAUUCACAUUUUCUGCAAUUUACUCCGAAAAUAUUAGGUUUACAAGAAAAACUAGCAUGACUAAAAAUGUUCCCCUUCAAAUUCUCGACAAUUUGAUAUAACGUUCGAUGUCCAUCCCUCAAGUGGGGUGUCUGAAAAAAGGGGUGGAAAGAGUAGGUGUCUCAAAAAAGGUCAGUCCUAUAAAUCGAUCAAAGUUACCACUUUAAUAUCAUUUGUUUUCGCUUAAAUUUUUUUUACAAAGUCUACUCACCUAACUACUAAUUACACCACCAUUGAUUGGUCUUCAAUCCUCCCCGGAGGUUGAUGGGGGGGGGGGGAUGCUUGAUUUUUCAAGUAACGCACAACUAAAUCAUAUUUGAAAAACGAAUCUGGACAUGCGAUAUAUCGAAUAUGUAUGUCAAUAAAAAAAUUGCCUCUUUCUUGCAUCUUUGAUAAGACUCUGGGUUGCCUUGAAAUGGAAAAUUUGCAUCUAGGUGUAGUAAAAAAUAUGCAUCAUGGAAGAUUCGCAAAGAUAACUGCGCAAUCUUCAAUCAGGACCCAAAAAACCCUUUCAAGCAUAUCCAAUCCAUACCUUAUGUGAUGACGUGAUGAGUAAAGUCAUACUAUUUUUUUAAGGACAUACUCCAUCUAAGCUUUGAGGUAAAGAUUUUUGCCAUUAUACAGGGUGAUUCGGAUAAGACCUGAAAAAUUAAAACCACAUAAUAUUCUAGCGGUCGAAUUGAGAAAAAAUUUCCUUUGCAAAAAUUUUGAAAAACCAACCCUUAAUGAGAUAUUUGCAAUUAAAGUUGUGGAAAAUAUGACAACGCCGCAUUUACGUUUCGCCUAUUCAAAUCAGGGAAGCGUAACUACAAUUUCAUUUUCAUAUUUUUUACCUUUUUAAUUAGUUGAUUUUUUUCCAGCCAGCAAUUUCUAUUGUUUUUAGGAAACAAAAUCGUAAUUUACGGUGACAAGUUUUGCGAUGUUGUUAAAGUGAGCAUAUUGGUUGAGAUGAAUCACAUUUUAUUGACAAAUAGCAUUUUUUUAAAAGUAAAAGUAAUUAAAAUUGAAAAUUGAGUACAGGAAACCUUCAAAGUGAUUAGUUUAUAAAAAAUUACAGAGUUUGUCAAAAUUGAAAAUUUUAAUUAAGUUAUUCAGCAUCCAGUGGACCAAAAAAAGAGAAAUUAACGUUUAAUGAGUGUCGAAUGAGAAGUACUACCGCAUUAAUUAAUAAAAUUCAAAAUAAUUUAAUUUAACUUCAAGUUUUGAUUGUUUUUCAUGCGAAAACACAUUUCUGACUUCAAAACAUCAAGUUAUGGACCAAAACAGAAAAGAAUGAUACUCUACAUUUCUGAGAUCUCACUUCACUUUUACCACCACCUACCCACCAAAAAUUUCCAAUGGAGAUGCUGAAAUGGCCAAUUUUAAGAAAACAGCUGGCCCCUUUAAAGGUCAUUAACCCCGAAAUGAAGAGGUUUUGGUCCAUGGUGUCUAUAACAUUUUUUAAUCCUAUUCAUGAGUAGAAUACGUGGUUUUAAUUUUUCUUACCACACCAUAGCUCACCUGAGUUUUCUACCCAUUUGGUGAUUUUUGAACCAUAAACUACUGAAUUCAGAUCAAAAAAAAAAUGAACGUUUACUCACCUAAAUACCCAAAUAUCCAAACAAAAAAUCUGUCAAUCAAGAGAGUAAGUAUCAAAUUCAUUAUUGAUCGCAUUACCAUGUAGUGGUGUGGUUGAAAAAAUACGCAUAAUUAUUUAGUAAUACAUAGUAAUAACAUAACUAAUAUGAAUUAUUCAUUCUGAAUUGAUAUCUCAAUUCUCAACUCUAUAUUUUGUUUCAUGCAUGAAGGAGGCCAAAUACUGUAUUCCAGUACAUGGCAAACGAUUUACCAUCCAAUCAUCACAAUUAUGAUUGGUCAUGGAUGUGGUUACACCAAACUGUGACAAAAUUGUUAACACAUCCUCAAUCUUUUUAGUUGUAUUUUCUACAAAAUUCUUGAUGCACAUUUUACUACUAUGAAUGAUAUGGUCAUUAUUUCAUCACACCAUAAUUGUCCCAAGUUUCCUACCUAUGUGGAGAUUUCUGAAUGAUAACCUACUGACUUGAGAACUAGAAAAAAAAAACCAAAAAAAAACCAUUCCCUUAUCUAACAAGAAUGCGACCACUAUGAUUAUUGAUUAGAAUCCCUGCAGCCACAACCAGUAUGCUGCCAUUUACAGACAAAAUUGUACUAAUACUGCCCAAAUCAAUGAAUCAAUUCAUCAAUUGCCCAGCCUCAUCCUCUGCAGGACUCGGCAAACCCUUUCAAGCGUAUCCUAACAUUAUCAGUGAUGUAAAGGAGCCUACACUUACCUCCGGAUCCGCAAAUGAGCCAACUCUUACCUCUGGAUGCCUGCUUUGAUCUUUUAAGUAUGUGAACUGUUGCAACUGCUGUUAUCAUUGCAAUUGCAAAGACUGGUGUGCUUCCACACAAACUUUCCAACCUGUGGAUAACCUUGUCAAUUCCUCAAGUCACAUGUCUGUUGGACCUGGAAGACCUGGAAGGUUGACCAUGGUCCAGACUACAGUGACUGCUGUCACUGCUGCACCUGUCACCACUGUUGUGUAGAAGAACACAAUGAACCAUUUUUUUAAUACAGUAUAACAAAAAUGAAAACAUAUAUAAAUAAACUGUAAAUUGUUAAUAAAAUUAUUUAAUGGUUAUCCAAAUUUCCCUCACUUAAAUACCCUAACAAAAAAUCUGUCAAACGCAAGGGUAUCAACUUGAUUAUUGAUCGCAUUACCAUGUAGUGGUGUGACUAAAAAAAUACUAACAUUAAUCAUUUUAUUCUAAAUUGAUAUCUCAACUCACAACUCUUAUUUUGUUCCAUGUAUGAAGGAGACCAAAUACUCUGCCCUAGUACAUGGCAAAACAUUUACCAUCAAAUCAUCACAAUCACAGAUGUGAUUACACCAAACUCUGACAAAAUUGUUAACACAUCAUCAAUAUUUCCAAUUGUAUUUUCUACAAAAUUCUAGAUGUACAUUUUACUACUAUGAAUGAUGUGACCUACCAGUUUCCAUAAAAACUCUCAGGGUAAAACUUUCACGGUAUCAUUAUUUCAUCACACCAUAUUUCUCCUGAGUUUCCUGCCAUAUGGCAUAAUAUCUGCCUUCCAAACAUCACAAUAAUGAUGAAUAUUUCGGUCAAGGGAGUGGUGUAACCAAACCCUGACAAAAUUGUGAUCAAGUUCAAAAUUUUUGAAAUGAAGUUAUCAAAAUAUGUAGUUGUGGAUCAUCUUUAUGACCAUUAUAUGUAUACCAGGGUAAAUGUUUAUUGCCACAGAAACUUUCAGGUUGUUUUAAUUUCAUUGCACCAUUUGUUCCCUGAGUUUUCUGAUUGUCUGGUCAUUUUUGAACCAUGACUUGCUAACUUUAGAACCAAAUAAAAAAAAAAUGACGAUGAAAGUUUUUAUUACAUAGAUAACAUUUACUAAAAUAUACCUUCCGUGUCUGCAGAUGUUAUUAGACCUUUUUCUGGCGGGUACUUCAGUUAUGGAAAUGUUUUCAUUUACAGAAGACUUUAAUUGUUUUACUUUUUUUCUUAAAUAUUUUUUCAAAUUGUUGUAUUGCCACCAAAUAUUCCUCCUUUGUGGACUCUCAGAGAUAUACUCCAAUGAUGACGGUGGUGAUGAUACAGCACACUAAAAAAAUAAAAUGAAUACUUACUAAAUUGAGUAUAAUUGUAGAUACUGUGCUGCCAACAAGUGUUAAUAUUGUACUCAUUGAUCCAAGGCGAUUGAAUAGAUUAUUGAUUGUCCAGCCACAUCAUGCAAAGAUAAAAUGUAAUCAGGAUGAUUAAUUGAUUAAAAUUGGGGCAGUCACCACCGUGGUGCUGCCAACAACAGACAAACCAGUGCUAAUACUGCCCAAUCGAUGAAUCAAUUCAUCAAUUGCCCAGCCGGGUCCUCCAUGGGACUCUGCAAACCCUCUCAAGAAUGUCUGAACAUCAUUAGUGAUGAGUGAAAUUGUACUUUUUUUCAUGUACAUACUUGCUUCCAGCUUUGAGGUAAAGAUUUUUGCCACUUUAUUUUCCAAAAAAUUGAAGGGUCAUAUUGAUGUCCAUUAGUGAAUGUGACCUAUAGUUUCUAGGAAAACUGAGUAUCAUUAUUUCACCACACACCACACCAUAUGUAGUUCUCCAAAGUAUUCUACCCAACUGGUGAUUUUCAAACUGUGACCUGCAGUGACCUCAGAUCCAAAAAAAAGACACAUUCACCCACCUAAAUACCUAAACAAUAUUAAGUAAAUAAUGAAUAUUUUUAAUUUAAGCAGAAAAUGAUGUUCAACUAGAAUGUUUUCACUGGUGAUUAUUUACAAAACAUCACCUUCACAUUAAAACUGUGUAUCUCCAUUAAAAUAUUGUAUCUUUCUUGCAUCAUAAAUAAGACUCUGGGUUGUCCUGAAACAGAAAGUUUGCAUACAGGGUGUGUCGCAGGUAUAGAUUGUAUUUUAAAUCGUUACUGUGGCUUUAAAAAUCAAGUUUGGGAGGGGAGAUUUGCAGCAGCCGGUAGCCUGGAAUGCCGCAUUUCAUUUUACAGUAGCUGUUUUUCAAGACUGAAGAAUUGUACAUGUCAACAAUUUGUGCUUUUUGUAAACGUUUUUUAUCGUUCAAUCUCACUAACAGAUGUCAGGUGAAAAAAUUGUGUGUCUGUUGAUUAAAAAUUUCUGUGAGAAAGGUUUUGUAACCAAAACAAAACCUCCGGGUUUGAAAAAGACUGCUGGAAACACCACACAUAGAAAACAUUGUGUGCCUGUGUAAUGCUUUAAAAUACUUAAUUGACAUAAAAUCCACUGACAAAGGUUCAAACAACAACUUCACAACAACUGUUAUUGACAGGACAAUCUGGCCACAAUUCUCUCGAGUUUCCUGCCUUUCUAGUGAUUUCUGAACCAUGACCUGCUAAAAAAAACAAUAAAAAACUAAAGAAAAAACAUUCCCUUACCUAAAAUGAUUAAUGAAAUUGUUGUACUGCUGGAAGUAAAACUUGAAUUCGAAAUUUUCUCAAGAGUUAACAAACUUUUAUUGAUGUCCACUAUAAGGUAAGACCGCCUAUUAGUACGCGGUUAAGGUUUGAGACGCUCCAGCUCCCAGAGUUGUGCAUAAAAACUUAUGAAAUUUUGUACACAUAAACUUUGAACCCUUGGCUACAUAACUGCUUACUCACUUUUGAGUUUCCCAUUGCUGCUUUUUUGUAAUAACGCAAAAAUGAGGGCAACUCAAAUGCGUACUAAUAGGAAGGUACCUUCCUAUUAGUACGCAAACGUCCGCCUAUAAGUACGCAUGAGUAAAUACACGUUGAAAAUGGUAAACAAUCCAACAAAAAGCACUGAAAAAGUGUAAUGUCAUAUUUAGAGGGAAUUACUGUGAAAAAAACCAAAUUAGCAAUUCAAAUAUCCGAAAAAACAAAGUUUUCAGAUUUUAAAAAAAUACAUUUUUUUGACAUCAUAUUUUUUGUCCAUUUUUUUUGAAAUUAGCGUCAGUAUCAUGAUCAGACUUCAUAAUCUUGAACUUAGAUGGACUAAAUACCAAUUUCAGCUAAUUUUAUUCAUUUUAAUGCAAAAUGAUCAAAAAAAUGAAAAUUUACAUGCAAAAAUGAUGCGUACUAAUAGGACUUAGGAGGUGCGUACUUAUAGGAAGUUUUUUGCUCUGACAUAAAAUGAUGUCUAGCUCUAUAAUAAAAUAAUAUUUUCGAAAUGUCUUUUUUUUCAUAAGAAACUACAUAAAAUUACGGAUCGAUUGGUAUAAGAUACUUACCAAAUAACAUUAUUUUAAUAUGUUCAAUCUCAUUUCCCAUUUUGAUGAAAAAAAAAUCCAAAACACAGUUUUUCAUUCAAAUUGUUCUCAGAGACAGAGUUUUCAAUCAAACUGCGUGAUUUUUUCGGAGAAACUGGGGUCAUUAGUCAGCUACGUCAUGGUGUGGUCAAAUUUUCGAUCAGUGUUACCAAUCGCGAGAAAAACGCAAUGCGUACUAAUAGGCGGUGCGUACUAAUAGGCAGUUUUACCUUACAUAUACUAGGUAGAUGUACCUUUAAUGAUGUGACCUGCCAGUUUCCACAAAAACUUUCAGGUUAUCAUCAUGUCACAAUACCAUUGUUUUUCUGAUUUUCCUGCCUGUCUGAUCGUUUUUGAACCAUGAUCUGCUGACUUCAGACCCUCCAAAAAAAAAAAAAAAAAAAAAUCCCUUACCAAAAAUACCAAAAUAAAAAAUAUGAAUGAACUGCAAUUGUGGUCACAGUUACUGUCACCUUCAGGCAGAGAAUGACGUUCAAUCUGAUUGUUUUUACAGGUCAUUAUUUACAAAACUUCACCUUAACUCUAGAACUCAGUAUGUACAUAAAAAAAUUGUAUCCUUCUUGCAUCACUAAUAAGAAUCUGGGUUGCCCUGAAGUGGAAAAUUUGCAUCUAGGUAUAGUGAAAAUGCCUUAUGGAAGAUGCACAAAGCUAACCAAUGUUCAAUCAUGACUCAGCAAACCCUUUCAAGCAUAUCCGAACAUUAUCAAUGAUGCGUAAAAUCAUACUACUUUUAUGUACAUACUUGUUUUCAGCUUUGAGGUAGAGAAUUUUGCCUCUUUAUUUUCCUGAAAGUGAAGGGUCAUAUUGAUGUCUAUUAGUGGAUGUGACCUCCAGUUGCUAGGAGAACUAAGUAUCAUUAUUUCACCACACCACAGUUCUCCAGAGUUUUCUACCCAUCUGGCAAUUUUCAAACUGUGACCUACUGACUUCAGAUCUAAAAAAAUACACAUUUCAUCACCUAAAUACCCAAACAAAAAAUUCGGCAAUCACAAGAGUAUCAAACUCAUUACUGAUCUCAUUAUUGUGUAGUAGUGCCGCUAAAAAAGUAUACUUACAUUAAUUAUUUAAUAAUAAUGAUAAUCCCAACAUUAAUGAUGUUAAUCAAAAUCAGUAUCUCAAUUUUCAACUCUCUCCAUGUUUGGAGGAGACCUAAUACUGUUCUCAAGUACAUGGCGAAACAUCCGCCUUCCAAACAUCUCAAUAAUGAUGAGUAUUGUGGUCAAAGGAGUUGAUGUCAAUUAUUUACUAGUGUGAAUGUGACCUUUACUUGCCCGGUCAACUGAGUAUUUUAAUCACUCCAUAGUUCUCCUAAGUUUCCUACCAAUCUGGUGAUUUUUGAACUUUGACCUACUAAUUUCAGAUCCAAAAAAUAAUACACAUUCCCUCACCUGAAUACCUAAACAAAAAAUCUGUCAAAUGUAAGAGUAAAAAUCCUGUCAAAUGUGAGAGUAUAAACUUAAUUAUUGUUCGCAUUACCAUGUAUCUAGACAUUUUUGAACCAUGACCUGCUGACUUCAGAACCAAAUUAAAAAAAAAAAAAAACAUUCCCUUACCUAACAAAAACACAACCAGUAUGAUUAGAACCCUGCAGCUACCACAGGGGCGCUGCCAAUUACUGAAAGGAUGGUGCUCAUACUGCCCAAUUGAUGAAUCAAUUCAUUGAUUGCCCAGCCUCGUCCUCAGCUGGACUCUGCAAACCCUUUCAAGCAUAUCUGAAUAUUAUCGGUGAUGAGUAAAAUUGUACUUUUUUCAUGUACAUACUUGUUUUCAGCUUCGAGGUAAGGAUUUUUGCCACUUUAUUCAUGUUUAUUACAACCAUCGUGCCGAUCAGAAACCAAACACUGUAAACUGUGGUUAUCUUUGUAUUCAAUUUUUAACUAAUAAAUUAUAGAAAUGAAAAAAAGAAUUCUUCACUUAUAAUUAUUUUAUUGCAUUAAAAAAAAUACAUUUUUUAAUAAUCAAUUUAUGGUAUUACAUAUUAGAUAAAUUCUAUGUUUUUCAAUACAUAGAAUGGCUCAAGAUGCCCUUCUUUACUAUUUUGUACCAUUAUCGAAUCCAUUCUAUACCAAAGUCCAGAUUGACUAUACCUCACAUAACAUCUAUUCAGUAUUAAUAUUUUACACUGAUAAAAUAAACUCAUAAAUUUAAAACGGUUAAAUUCAUCGCCACACCGUAGUAAAGUAUUAUAUGUAAUCUUCAAACCCAAAAUCCAUAAACUUACAUCCUUCAAAAUACACAUACUUUGCUUGUUGACCAAAACCAAUUCUAGUACCUGAUAACUGACUUAUCGCUCCAACACUUAUAAAUGUAGGGUUUCAGUAUUUUAUUUUGAAUGUAUCCGUUACAUUUUCAUCAAAUUCUUUUUUGAUAAAGUUGUCUAUUUUUUGAUAAUUUUCGAGUUCUUCUAAAUUAUAUUCAGACAUUCCUCUCAUCAACAUUUCUUGUAGCCCAUCUACUUGAAAACAUUUGUUUAUGAUUGAAAUAUUGUUAUUUCGAAUCGUGCAGCAUUCAAAGAUUUUAUUUUUAAAAAACUUGAACAUGUAUCCAAACUUUUUCCCUUCAAUUUUUAGAGUCGGCAAACCAACUCACAUCUGCGUGGUUUAGGUUGGUGUAUUACUAUUUCAUUGUUGCUUUUGCCCAUAAAUAUGAGUUCAUUAGGAUGUACUUCAUUUGGAGGCAUUGCAUAAGCGCUUGUAAUAAGUUCUUUGUCCUUUGCAUGGUAAGAUGAGAUUCAAUGUUCCCAGCGUACAAUCUGUUGAUUAGAAGUCAUAUUACUUUCUUUCAAUUGAGAAACGUCAAAAACCUUGCAAUGUGUGCUGCCUGUCCACAGGUAUGGUGUCAAAGUUUGAUACAAUCUGGUUGAACCAGGAUUAUCUUUUCUGGUACACACUGCAUACAAGCAGUACAAUGAUAUAAUUUUCCCCAUGCUUCUGGAGAUAUUUUGAUUUUGUAAUUCAUACAUUCCAUUUCCUCUUCAUGUACUUCAUCGGAUAAGCUUGACUCAGAGCCCAAAUCAGUGUAAGAGAUUAAAUCAAUUUCCAUCCUGAAUUCCUCCCAGUUUUGAGUGACGUCAUUGUGGAGGCUCUGUGGUGUGAUAUUUUUCUUCAAUUCAAUUCAACACUGAUAAGAAGGUCCAAAUCUGGUCUGCUGAAAGCCACUGGGAAUAGUGGCGGCAUGUUUAGAAACACAAAAAAUUGAAUAAAUAAAAUAAAAUGUUGAUAAGUUACUUAUUUAAUAAAUGACACUUUAAUACCACUUGUUACACAAUGUACUAGAAAUGAGUUAUUCCAGUUAUUCAGUUGAGUACAAAGUAUUGCAACUUGCAACAUGUUCACAAGUUAGAACACAUCUGUAAUGAAAGGUACUUACCUGGCAAAGUGAAAUAUAUAAACACUUGAACGUGAACAAUAAUUUGUUGAAAAGCAUUGAAAUUUAAGUCGAAUCAAUGAGUUGAACAAAUGAAGAAAUUAAUUUCAGAAAUUUAUGGAACAUAGAUAAAUUAAAUUCAAAACGAAGUCCACAUCAAAUUCAGAAACACCUUGUAAAAUCGUAAAUGACGGUUAAAAAACGUUUAUAAAAAAUAAUGAAGACAUUUAUGUCUUAAAACUUGAAAUUACAUCUCAACAGCUCGUCUAUCGUUACACAAACUGAGACAUGGUGUACACAAGGAGGAACGAUAAGAUAAUGUAAUUACAGGGAAAUACCCGUGAGGUUUAAAAUGUAAAAUUAUUCAGUAAUUACAAAUUCAUAACCAUGUGGUUACACCAAAUGCUGACAAAAUUGUUAACGCAUCCUCAAUCUUGUUAAUUAUUGUAUUUUCUACAAAAUUUUCCAUGUACAUUUACUAUGUACUAUGAAUGAUAGGGUCAUUAUCUCAUCACACCAUAUUUCUCCCAAGUUUCCUACAUAUGUGGAGAUUUCUGAACCAUAACCUACUGACUUCAGAACUAAAAAAAAAAAAUAAAAACAUUCCCUUACCUAACAAAGUUGUUAUAUUAGAAUCCUUACAUACAACAGUGACAGCACCGUCCUUAUGCUUCCUAAUUGAUGAAUCAAAUCAUCGAUUGCCCAGCCUCAUCUUGCAAAGAUCAAACGUAGGUAACCAGGAUUAUUAAAAUUGGGCCUGCCAUCACCGAGAUGCUGCCAAUAACUGACAAAACUGUGCUAAUACUGCCCAAUUGAUUGCGCAGCCUCAUUCUCUGCAGGACUCUGCAAACCCUUUCAAGCAUAUCUGAACAUUAUCACUUAUCAGUGAUGAGUAAAGUUGUACUUUUUUUCAUGUACAUACUCGCAUUCAGCUUUGGGGUAAAGAUUUUUGCCACUUUAUUUUCCAAAAAUUGAAGGGUUGUAUUGAUGUCCAUUAGUGAAUGAGACCUCUAGUUGCUAGGAAAACUGAGUAUCAUUAUGUCACCACACCAUAUGUAGUUCUCCAAAGUUUUCUACUCAGCUGCAGGUGAUUUUUGAACUGUUACCUACUGACUUCAGAUUCAAAAAAAUACACAUUCCCCCACCUAAAUACCUAAGCAAUAAGAAAUCUGGAGUGGUGCCGCUAAAAAAGUAUACUCAUUAAAAUUAUCUAAGUAAAAUAAUGAAUAUUUUAAAUUUAAUUGACAUAAACUCCACUCACAAAGGUUCAAAAAACAACUUCACAAUAACUCUUGAUGACAGAACAGUCUAGUCAAAGUUCUCUUGAGUUUCCUGCUUUUCUAGUGAUUUUUGAACCAUGACCUGCAGAAAAAAAAACCAAAAACAUUCCCUUACCUUAAAUACUUACCUAACAUUCUGAUAAUGAUUAUUGCAACUGAUACUAGUCCAGGAAAAUUAGAUGAAAAAAAAGGGUCAUUGGGAAAAGUGAGGUAGAAAGCUGAAUUUUGGUAUUCAGGUCCAUUUUUUGGUGCUGAACACGAAUCCGAUGAGUCCCCGGUCGUCCCUGGUGAGCUUUCUCCCCUAUUGUGGAUCUAAGCCCCCCAAAACCAGUUUUUUGCAAUUUUUUCCCCCGCAUUGCAUUUUAGCGAAAAAUGAGGUUAGACACAAGAAUCUACGUCAAAUUUCCGAUCUAGUGACAUAUCAACUUUUCUUCUACCCUCAAGGGGGUUGGAACCACAACCAUUCAAAAAAGGGGGGUUCCCUGAAAAAUACAAAACGUCUAUAGGCGCCUAAGAGGGGUGAAAUGGUCCCCGACAGCGUUCGAGUUGAUAUUAGCAUGAAAAGUGGGUACCAUAGAGAAACCUCCGCGCAAAAAAUUUUAGAUCCACACCCCCUCCCCUUUUUGCGGAACCCUCCUUUUUUGAAAUUUCAGUAUCACUUUCCUCAGCCCCAUUUCAACCGAUGUUGGAAAUUUUCGUGGAGGUUAUGUAUAUGCUUGAUAGGUAACCCUACAAAAAUUUUCAACCCCCUCCCCUCAUAUUUACCCCCCAAAAUGGCGUUUUUUUCAUUUUUUUAGGCCUAUUAACAAUCAAGAUUGCGAGGUACAAUUUUGUAAACACGUUUUUUGGAUGUAUUUUUGGCCCCCAAACAUCAUAUACUAUAUUAGAAAUUUUUGCUUUGGUGCGCCGUGGUAAAAACUUGAAAUAAUGUAUCGUAGAGGGGUGGGGGGUGAAAUGGCAAUUUUGAAAAAAAAAAACAACUAUCAAUGAGUAGGGUAUCGUUUUCAUAUGAUUCGAUACCGCUGAGCACGAAUAUGACCUCAGAUUUUUUGCUACACUCACCUACCCCUCUCCAGAGCCCCUCAGCCCCCUCAAUUUUCACGAUUUUCGAAAUAAAGUUAUUUUGGUGAUGUUGGUUUCAUUGCUAUGGGAAAAUUACAUAAAUUCAUUGUUAUUGUACAUAAAAUUUCUCGUAGAAUGAGCUACAGCAGAUGGCUCCCCCUCGAGGGGGGUGGACCUUUCAAUUUUUUUCCACGCAGAAAACGUAACAAUCUGUAUGUGUACUGGACUGUAUAGGUAUGCGGAGCAUAUGUGGCAUAAUAAUUAUUCAUGAUAACUGUAACUUGAGUAUGUAUGAGUAUGCAUUUUAUAAUUCAAUGACUAGGUACCUACAUAAAAAAUCACAAGAAAAAAAUAUGGUAACGAAAUACUUAUAAAAAAAAGUAAAGAAUGUUAAUUUGUGAUUCACUUAAUCGUCAUCAUCACUAAUGUCAUCAUCUGUGGUAUAACUUUCGUCGCUGGAAUAGUUGUAAUCGUCAUUUUCUUUCGAAAAUCGUGAAAAAUGAGGGGGCUGAGGGACUCUGGAGAGGGGUAGGUGAUUGUAGCAGAAAAUCUGAGGUCAUAUUCGUGCUCAGCGGUAUCGAAUCAUAUGAAAACGACACCAACAUCAUCAAAAUAACUAUAUUUCGGAAAUCGUGAAAAUUGAGGGGGCUGAGGGGCUCUGGAGAGGGGUAGGUGAGUGUAGCAAAAAAUCGGAGGUCAUAUUCGUUCUCAGCGGUGUCGAAUCAUAUGAAAACGACACCAACAUCAUCAAAAUAACUAUAUUUCGGAAAUCGUGAAAAUUGAGGGGGCUGAGGGGCUCUGGAGAGAGGUAGGUGAGUGUAGCAAAAAAUCGGAGGUCAUAUUCGUGCUCAGCGGUGUCGAAUCAUAUGAAAACGACACCAACAUCAUCAAAAUAACUUUAUUUCGAAAAUCGUGAAAAUUGAGGGGGCUGAGGGGCUUUGGAGAGGGGUAGGUGAGUGUAGCAAAAAUCUGAGGUCAUAUUCAUGCUCAGCGGUAUCGAAUCAUAUGAAAACGAUACCCUACUCAUUGAUAGUUGUUUUUUUUCAAAAUUGCCAUUUCACCCCCCACCCCCCUACGAUACAUUAUUUCAAGUUUUUACCACGGCGCACCAAAGCAAAAAUUUCUAAUAUAGUAUAUGAUGUUUGGGGGCCAAAAAUACAUCCAAAAAACGUGUUUACAAAAUUUUACCUCGCAAUCUUGAUUGUUAAUAGGCCUAAAAAAAUGAAAAAAACGCCAUUUUGGGGGGUAAAUAUGAGGGGAGGGGGUUGAAAAUUUUUGUGGGAUUACCUAUCAAGCAUAUACAUAACCUCCACGAAAAUUUCCAAAAUCGGUUGAAAUGGGGCUGAGGAAAGUGAUACUGAAAUUUCUAAAAAGGAGGGUUCCGCAAAAAGGGGAGGGGGUGUGGAUCUAAAAUUUUUUGCGCGGAGGUUUCUCUAUGGUACCCACUUCUCAUGUUAAUAUCAACUCGAACGCUGUCGGGGACCAUUUCACCUCUCUUAGGCGCCUAUAGACGUUUUGUAUUUUUCAGGGAACCCCCCUUUUUUGAAUGGUUGUGGUUCCAACCCCCUUGAGGGUAGAAGAAAAGUUGAUAUGUCACUAGAUCGGAAAUUUGACGUAGAUUCUUGUGUCUAACCUCAUUUUUCGCUAAAAUGCAAUGCGGGGGAAAAAAUUGCAAAAAACUGGUUUUGGGGGGCUUAGAUCCACAAUAGGGGAGAAAGCUCACCAGGGACGACCCGGGACUCAUCGGAUUCGUGUUCAGCACCAAAAAAUGGACCUGUAUACCAAAAUUCAGCUUUCUACCUCACUUUUCCCAAUGGAAUGUUAUUUUUCCUGGACUAUACAUGCAGUGUAACUAUAGCCUGAAAAAUUGUAAUUGAAUUUGAAAUUUUUUAAAAAGUCAAGGAUCACAUUGAUGUCCAUUAUAAAUAAUAGGGUAAACGUACACUGUACAGGGUGUGUCACAGGUAUAGAAUGUAUUUUAAAUCGCUACUGUGGCUUUAAAAAUCAGCGGUAGUCUGGAAUGCCACAUUUCAUUUUCUGUUAGUAUUUGCCAGGAUGAACCAGCGGAGUGUUAAACAGCGCGCUUUUAUGGUAGCCGUUUUUCAAGGCUGUAGAAUUGUACAUGUCAACAAUUCGUGCUUUUUGUAAACGUUUUUCAGUUCAAUCUCACAAACAGGUGUCAGGUAAAAAAAACGGUUUGUCUGUUGGUUAAAAAUUUCUGUGAGAAAGGUUUUAUAACCAAAACAAAACCUCCGGGUCCAAAAAAGACUGCUGGAACACCAUCACAAUCCCCAAUUGAUUGCGCAGCCUCGUUUUCUGCAGGACUCUGCAAACCCUUUCAAGCAUAUCUGAACAUUAUCACUUAUCAGUGAUGAGUAAAGUUGUACUUUUUUUCAUGUACACACUCGCAUUCAGCUUUGGAGUAAAGAUUUUUGCCACUUUAUUUUCCAAAAAUUGAAGGGUUGUAUUGAUGUCCAUUAGUGAAUGUGACCUCUAGUUGCUAGGAAACCUGAGUAUCAUUAUGUCACCACACCAUAUGUAGUUUUCCAAAGUUUUCUACUCAGCUGCAGGUGAUUUUUGAACUGUUACCUACUGACUUCAGAUCCAAAAAAAUUACACAUUCCCCCACCUAAAUACCUAAACAAUAAGAAAUCUGGCAAUCUCAAGAGUAUCAAACUCGUUACUGAUCUCAUUAUUGUGUAGGUAGUGGUGCCGCUAAAAAAGUACACUCAUUAAAAUUAUUUAAGUAAAUAAUGAAUAUUUUUAAUUUAAUUGACAUAAACUCCACUCACAAAGGUUCAAAAAACAACUUCACAACAACAACUCUUAAUGACAGGAAAGUCUAGCCAAAGUUCUCUUGAGUUUCCUGCUUUUCUAGUGAUUUUUGAACCAUGACCUGCUGAAAAAAAAAAAACAAAAAAACAAAAACGUUCCCUUACCUAAAUAAAUACCUAUUCCAACAAUGAUUAAUGCAAGUGAGAAAUGUAUUGUUGAUAGCCUGAAAAAUUGUAAUUGAAUUUGAAAUUUUUAAAAAAGUCAAGGAUCAUAUUGAUAUCCAUUAUAUGGAUGUAUUUUAAAUCACUACUGUGGCUUUAGAAAUCAAGUUUGGGAGGGGAGAUUUGCGGCAGCCAGUAGUCUGGAAUGCCGCAUUUCAUUUUACAGUAGCCGUUUUUCAAGACUGAAGAAUUGUACAUGUGAACAGUUCGUGCUUUUUGUAAACAUUUUUCAGUUCAAUCUCACAAACAGGUGUCAGGUAAAAAAACGGUUUGUCUGUUGGUUAAAAAUUUCUGUGAGAAAGGUUUUAUAACCAAAACAAAACCUCCGGGUCCAAAAAAGACUGCUGGAACACCAUCACAUAGAAAACAUUGUGUGCCUGCGUAAUGCUUUAAAAUACCCAAAUGAUUAAUGAAAUUGUUGUGAAAUUGGUACUGUAGCUACAGCCUGAUGAAAUGGUAAUUGAAUUUGAAAUUUUUCUAAAGAGUUGAGGAUCAUAUUGAUGUCCAUUCCAUUAUAUACGGUAAAUGUACCUGUAACGAUCUGAGAGUAGGUCAAAUGUUUGUACAUUUUUCUGAAUCAGGUUGCCUUGAAGAUAACAUUUCUGGAGAUGGUGUGUCUUGUGGCAAAUUUUGUCCCAAUGUUAAAGAGCAGGAGUAUUCAACCCGCGUUUUAUUAUUUUUUUUUUAGUAAAAAUUAUUGCUUUAUUGGAAAUUGUGAAGUAUAAUUUGCUACCUAUACAUACAAAGCAUAUAUUAUUGAUAAGUAUUCUUCACAAAUUGAGUCUUGUUUUCCAUUGGUGCAAUCUUCAUGUGGCCAACUAAAGGUCAGCACUGUACUCAUAUGUAUUCAAAUCUAUCCAGCUGUGAUCUUUGUUACUGUGAUUGUUAUUCUUGUAAUUGUUUUUAUCUUUGUAGGUAUGUUUCUGUUGAGCAGCGUACAAUUUUUUUAAACUUGGAUUUGUCAGUAUUGUACCUACUAAAUAACUUUUUUAUGCAUCUUAAAAAUUUAUUGCUUACUUAUGUACCUGUAAAUUUUUGUUACGAGAAUUUCAAUUGUAUACCAACCUGUGUUAUUUUAAUUCAUUACAUUUUUGAAACUGAA